UCCCGGAAUCCAGGUGCUUUUUUUUGUAUUAGGAGCCGCAAGUUGGGCAAUAGGUUACCACACAGGACCCACCUGGAAUAGGUUACCACACAGGACCCUUCUGGAAUAGGUUACCACACAGGACCCUCCUGGAAUAGGUUACCACACAGGACCCUCCUGGAAUAGGUUACCACACAGGACCCUCCAGGAAUAGGUUACCACACAGGACCCUCCUGGAAUAGGUUACCACACAGGACCCUCCUGGAAUAGGUUACCACACAGGACACUCCUGGAAUAGGUUACCACACAGGACCCUCCUGGAAUAGGUUACCACACAGGACCCUCCUGGAAUAGGUUACCACACAGGACACUCCUGGAAUAGGUUACCACACAGGACCCUCCUGGAAUAGGUUACCACAUAGGACCCUCCUGGAAUAGGUUACCACAC